rnacentral:rRNA from 1 species
UACGGAGGGUGCGAGCGUUGUCCGGAAUCACUGGGCGUAAAGGGCGCGUAGGCGGCCUGAUAAGUAGGGGGUGAAAUCCUGCGGCUUAACCGCGGGGCUGCCUUCUAAACUGUCAGGCUAGAGCACGGUAGAGGCAGAUGGAAUUCCCGGUGUAGCGGUGGAAUGCGUAGAGAUCGGGAAGAACAUCAGUGGCGAAGGCGGUCUGCUGGGCCGUUGCUGACGCUGAGGCGCGACAGCGUGGGGAGCAAACAGG